rnacentral:rRNA from 1 species
GACGAACGCUGGCGGCGUGCCUAAUACAUGCAAGUUGAGCGCUCAAGGUUGGUCCUUGUACCUCCUGCGUGAGCAGCGAACGGGUGAGUAACGCGUGGGUAAUCUGCCUUUGAGCCGGGGACAACUUUUGGAAACGAAUGCUAAUACCGCAUAAUAUCUUUAAACACAAGUUUUAAGUUUGAAAGAUGCAAUUGCAUCACUCAAUGAUGAUCCCGCCUAGUAUUAGGUAGUUGGUUAGGUAAAGGCUCACCAAGGCGAUGAUUGAUAGCCCGCCUGGGAAGGGGGUCGGCCACAUUGGGAAUGGGACACGGCCCAAACUCCUUAGGGAAGAAGCAAUAAGGAAACUUCGGCAAUGGAGGAAAGGCUGGACGGGGAAAGCCGGGUGAGUGAAGGAGGGUUUCGGAACGGAAAAAUCUGUUGAUAGGGAAGAAAGAUAGGGAGAGGGAAAAACGCAUCAAGUGACGGUAACUACCCAGAAAGCGACGGCUAACUACGUG